GAGGGUCUAGCUUACUGGUAGAGUACUUACUUAGUAUGCAUGAGGUCCUGGGUUCAAUCCCUGGUACCUCU
rnacentral:tRNA from 1 species